GACGAACGCUGGCGGCGUGCUUAACACAUGCCAGUCGAACGGAAAGGCCCUGCUUGCCGGGUACUCGAGUGGCGAACGGGUGAGUAACACGUGGGUGAUCUGCCCUGCACUUCGGGAUAAGCCUGGGAAACUGGGUCUAAUACCGGAUAGGAGCCAUUUUUAGUGUGAUGGUUGGAAAGUUUUUUCGGUGUAGGAUGAGCUCGCGGCCUAUCAGCUUGUUGGUGGGGUAAUGGCCUACCAAGGCGGCGACGGGUAGCCGGCCUGAGAGGGUGGACGGCCACAUUGGGACUGAGAUACGGCCCAGACUCCUACGGGAGGCAGCAGUGGGGAAUAUUGCACAAAGGGCGCAAGCCUGAUGCAGCGACGCCGCGUGGGGGAUGACGGCCUUCGGGUUGUAAACUCCUUUCGCUAGGGACGAAGCUUUUUGUGACGGUACCUAGAUAAGAAGCACCGGCUAACUACGUG
rnacentral:rRNA from 1 species